rnacentral:rRNA from 1 species
AUGUCCGGAAUCCCGAAGAGAUUUGGGAGUGACUCGCAAGGAGAACCGGAACACAGGUGCUGCAUGGCUGUCGUCAGCUCGUGUCGUGAGAUGUUGGGUUAAGUCCCGCAACGAGCGCAACCCUUGUCAUUAGUUGCCAUCAUUUGGUUGGGCACUCUAAUGAGACUGCCGGUGACAAACCGGGAGGAAGGUGGGGAUGACGUCAAGUCCUCAUGGCCCUUAUGGGUAGGGCUUCACACGUCAUACAAUGGUCGGGUACAGAGGGUUGCCAACCGCGAGGGGGAGCUAAUCCCACAAAGCCGAUCGUAGUCCGGAUCGCAGUCUGCAACUCGACUGCGUGAAGUCGGAAUCGCUAGUAAUCGUGGAUCAGCAUGUCACGGUGAAUACGUUCCCGGGUCUU